CGAAGAGCCAUCGAGGCACAGCCAGUAUCCCACCACCAGGCCGGGGAUGCUGCCGGGAGUACAGAGCCGACAGGGUCGCCUUCCCCCGGCAUCCUCCGCCCCACGGUUUGGCAGGGCCCCCUGAUCCAUGGCAAUGGAUUUUACUGAAUGUAAGAGCACACUUGGUCUUCGGAGUGAAUUACUGCAUCCCUUCCUCUCCCAAUAACAAGAUCACAUCAUGUAUGCAUUAUUAAGCCAUGUAAUUGAAUGGUCCAUAGUUUGCAUAUCAGACUAUUAAAGUAAUGUGUUUUGCUUUUCUUCCAACACGUAAUGUUAAAGCCUUUGCGAAUAUUUGGUGAUUCUGAUAAUUAUCACCAAAUUACUACAAAUGUUCUCUUCAUUAAUGUGAUUUCUCUCAAGCAUUUUUUAAAAAAAUGUCAAUAAUGCAUUAAGUGGUAGCUUAUAAAGUGUUUUUUUUAAUAAAACUUGUCAACUACAAUUCGAAAAUAAG